CGGGUUUUAUAAGGCAUUGACUGCUGUACUUGAUGCAACAUAAUAACAUCUUCACCAAGGCUUGCUGGAUCAUCCGCUCGACCCAAGGCUGUUCGUUCACACGUAAGAAACAGUCGUCAUCGCCGGCAUCCAGGAAGACUUGAACGUCUGGCAGUAUGGGUUCCUGUACUAAGGUUUUGGCAGCGGGUGUUGCGAUGGUGUUGGUGGGAACCUGCGUCCUGGGUCGACCCUCAGAUCCUGAUGUCACUAAUGAACGCCGAGAAUCCCGAACAGCCGACGGAUUUAAUCUUCCGAUGAAGCCUGCUGCACCUUCACUCGCGGGGUCGCGCGAAUUUCAGAGGUGACAGCAACUCUACUGUCACUUUAUGCCGGACUCUGUGGUGGUACAUCUAACUUUCAUUAAAGCGAAAUUUGUAGAAUAUGAAACAUCAACAUGGCACCCUAAAUAUACCUGUGUUUAUCUUUCUGUUAAAUAAAAAAACAAAUGAAGCACUUAUGCAAAGAUAUCU